CGGGCCAGUAUUAAGCAUUACCCCGUGGUGGGGUUCCCGAGCGAUCAUAAGGGAGCUGACUGCAAAUCUGCCGUCAUCGACUUCAAGGUUCGACUCGAGCAAUAGUGAGAGAACGUUGCCGCAGGCAACGGCCCGAAGGGUGAGGAGCUUUAGCUCCGAAUAAUCCUUACCGCUA
rnacentral:sRNA from 1 species